AUUGUGUUCCUUUAAAGCACCCAGUUCUGCCCUUCUAUGUGUCAAUAAAAGAUAACACUGAUUUCUCCCUCAGUUUUAUUUUUGUCUUUCAGCUCUAUGCUAACUUGCGUGAGACAUCUGUGCACAAUCCAUCCAGCUGUGAUUAAAUUCCUGGUUUCAGUGUUUGUGUGUGUGUGUUUCAAUUCAAAAAUUAAAGGCAAAUUCCUGUGGAAAGAGAUACUUGGAAAACGUCUGCAAAUCUAAAAACGCUGGACAUUUUAUAUGAAACAAGCAUAAGAAGACUCCAAAAGGUAGAGACAAGGCAGAAUUGCUGGGGAACUUGAGACCAAAGGAACAACACAUUAGUCAGUCUGAUAUCCACCACCCAGUUCUCCAGGUGGAAGAAUAAUCAAAGAGCCUUGGGGGAAAGAGGGAUUCUCAUGGUUGAAGAUGAUGAAGAUGUGAAGGCUGGAUUUGAUAAUGAAGAGUCUUCUUUGUGUUCUCUCAUUAUUUAUGCCACAUCUGCCUCUCAGCAUUUGUGUCAAUGAGUCACUGUAAUUACAGCCGUUGGAUAAUUUCCUCCGUUUUACAACACAAACCCGACUGUGUGAGUGCUCCAUCAGAGAAAAACAUUUAUUUCCUUGCAGCACCAUCAGGCAGCAAGGUCCAGCUUUCUUGAGACGUGGUUAUUAGCCAAGUCAGAACAAAUGGCUUCUGUUCUUACUCACGCUAACUGAAAGUGAGACUUGAGGAGCUUAGCUGAUUACGGAGACACAAAGGAUCAGAAUUCUUUUUUCUAUAUAAAAGCCAGAAUUUUGACUGAGGAUCUUGCUUAAAAAAUGAUUUAUGGAAAAAUGAACUAUGCUGACCCUGAAAUGGAGGGGUGGGGGUAAACUGGGGAGAAUCACGCUUCACUGUUUCUGUUCACUAGUACCCCUACCCCAAAACAAAUAAGUAGCUCCUACCAUCAACAAGAUGUUAUAAGGCAAAAAUAUCUGGUUUAAUUAAAUACAAAAAGAAUUCUUGAAAGUUGUAUGUAUGAUAGAACCUAGGUGUUUUCAGUCCCUGCAUCCUGUUGCUUGUUCAUAGACUAGUUCCCAAGAUGAAUUAAAAAUACUGGGUCUGGAGCAGAAACUCUUCUCUGCCAUAAGAGAGAACUAAUCUUGUAAUUCUACCACAUUGCAGGAGGAGAAAAGAGACCUUAUAUGUUAUGAUAAUCUUUUUCGAUUAAUGCUGUGGGUGUUCAUGACUGAAGAGCCAUUCAUCAUUCUAUUUGUGACUUACUAGGUGAAUCGUGAGACACUAUAAACCAGCCCUUAUUUAACUGUGUUUUAUGUUUUCUCCAGGAAAAUACAAAUUUCCAUUUCUACCCCUAGCACUGUACUACACCAAAGACUGCAAAAAGCAAAUGAGGCCACAAAGAAAUGGAAAAAGAAAAAUAAUGUUAAGAUAUUUUUGCAGAUAUCCAGAGAGAAUGUUUUCCUGUUGCUAAUAUGGAGGCAAUGCUUGUCUUCCACAUCUAAGUUGAAGAGGCUGGCUGUCCAUGUGAUUUGAGGUCACAUAAGAACUGUCCAUAAAUGUCCAUCCUUCACUUUCACACUUUCUUAGUCCCACAAGGUUUUACCUCCAGAAUAUCGUUGUUAAAAUUCAACCUAGGAGGAUUCACAGACUAAUGCCUCCACUUCCAUUAGUAUGGAUCAUUUCUGUAAUUUUCCAACUUUUCUUUUUUUCAAAACAGAUCACUUUCUCAAAAGAAAGUAUAAGGCAGAACCCUAAUACAAGUUGAGUAUCCCUAAUACAAAAAUGUGAAAUUUAAAAUGCUCCACAAUCUGAAACCUUUUGAGCACUGACAUCAUGCUCGAAAAAAUUGCAUAUUGGAGCAUUUUAGAUUUGGGGUUUUGGAUUAGGGUUGCUUAACCAGUAAGAAUAAUGCAAAUAUUCCAAAAUAAAAAAACUUUUGAAACAUUACUGAUCCCAACAUUUUGGAUAAGGUAUACUCAAUCUGUAUUACAAAAUAAAAAGGAACGGAGAUGAUCUCUGUUUGAAAAGACCAGAUUGGAGAGUUCCCAGUUACGCUGAAAAAAUACUUCCCAGAUGUGACUGUGAGACCCAUCCAUGAGACAUUACCACUCUAUGAAACAUACUUUUAAAAGCACUGAAAUAACAUUUGGCUUGGGAAAAGAUAACUGAACCCUGUGAGAAUCCAAACUAAGUGACCAUCUUGUGGCUGGGCAAAAAGGCAGGUAGACAGGAAGGAAGGAUGAGCAGUGGAAGGUGAUGCCAAUGCGGACAGUUCUUAGUGGGAGCCACAGUAAGGCCACUGGAGUUGACAUUCAACCAUUAAUGCAGGUAUUAACAGUGGAUUUUCACUAGUGUCAUGGGAAUCCUUAAGCAUUUCCAACUCCUAGUCUCAUGCCUAAGUUUUGGAUGCCAACAAUCUCUAACCCACAUGUGAUCAUCUUCCCAGGGUUUUAUGUGGUCUUUUCUGAUGUGCUAUGCUUGGAGAAAUUGAGAAAGCAACACAGAGAAGCUGCACACCAGGGAGGCAUAUUAUAAAGUAGUUUAAAUGGGAGUUUAUCCUAGCCUCAGGCCAUGCCUCACUAACAGAGAAGCAGGAAAAAAUCAAGAGAGGUAUGGUAUUUUUAGGAUGUACCCAGACAACUUUAUGUCUGAGAUAAAAAUAAAAUCUCAGAGAACUCUAAUAACCCUCAGCAACUCUCAGCAGAGCAUUAAGCUCUAAAGACCAAAAUCUUUAUUUGAUAAGUAAAGGAUAUCAGUAAAUAUUAAAAUUACUAGGUGUGUUAAAUAAAAACUGUGAACAAACAAGUUUUUUUUGUCUUCGAAAGUGGCUUGGCUUUUCUUGUUGGGAGCUCAUAAAAGCUUCCUUGUGAUCACCCCCUUUUAGGUAAGAAUUAUUCUUCAUGGUUAAAAAACAAAAAAUGUGUUUUAACUGGGGUGAUGUAGGCUAAAAUUGCUCCAAGCAAUUUUGUAUAAUGGAAUUUCAUAGUAAAAAAUUAACUACAAACCACUGACUGGGUCCAUUGUCUUUCUCAAUGCUACAAUUUUGCUGCUGGAAAAGGGGGUUUGCUAUUCAAGGAUGCAAAAGUGUGAUUCAAGAAUCAAGCCUUUUCAUCUCUCGUGGGAUAUUGUCCUUUAUCAGAGCAUUCUUGGUGGAUAAACAUGUAAAUUAUUAUGCAAAGCAGGAUGGAGUAAUUCAAAUUGACAAUUGCCCUAUUAAAAAAAAAUUAAAAUGUGGAAGCCUUGAACAUGUGUCUGCUGACAAUAAAGGAGGUUCGUGUUAAAAUCAAUA
rnacentral:lncRNA from 10 species